UACGUAGGGUGCGAGCGUUGUCCGGAAUUACUGGGCGUAAAGAGCUCGUAGGUGGUUUGUCGCGUUGUUCGUGAAAUGCCACAGCUUAACUGUGGGCGUGCGGGCGAUACGGGCAGACUGGAGUACUGCAGGGGAGACUGGAAUUCCUGGUGUAGCGGUGGAAUGCGCAGAUAUCAGGAGGAACACCUGAGGUGAAGACGGGUUGCUGGGCCGACACUGACGCUGAUGCGCGAAAGCCAGGGGAGCAAACGGG
rnacentral:rRNA from 1 species